rnacentral:rRNA from 1 species
GAUGAACGCUGGCGGCGUGCCUAAUACAUGCCAGUCGAGCGAACAGACGAGGAGCUUGCUCCUCUGACGUUAGCGGCGGACGGGUGAGUAACACGUGGAUAACCUACCUAUAAGACUGGGAUAACUUCGGGAAACCGGAGCUAAUACCGGAUAAUAUAUUGAACCGCAUGGUUCAAUAGUGAAAGACGGUUUUGCUGUCACUUAUAGAUGGAUCCGCGCCGCAUUAGCUAGUUGGUAAGGUAACGGCUUACCAAGGCAACGAUGCGUAGCCGACCUGAGAGGAGGGUCGGCGACAAUGGAACAGAGAAGAGAUCCAGAAGCCUACGGGGGGCGGCAGUAGGGAAGCUUCCGCAGUGGGCGAAGACAUGACGAAGCAACGACGCGUGAGUGAUGAAGAUCUUCGGAUCGUAGAAAUCUGUUAUUAGGGGAGAAGAAAAGUGUAAGUAACAAUGCAGGACGUGACGAUACUAAAUCAGAAGAAAACGACUAACAACGAG